ACCCAUGCUGGAGAUUUUGCAUAAAAAAAAAAUCAGACUCAUAUGAAAUCCCAGAAUCUGGAUUAUUAGAAUUUCUGUUACUGAGGUUUGGGACAGGAUCUUCCUACGGAACCUUAAAUUCAAUGCAAGUAGCUAUAUCUUUGAUAUCUAAGUUUAUCGUCUAACGUAUUAAUCAACAGAUUUUCUUCUGAAAAAGCAUUCUCCCUCUCUCUCUCUCUCUCUCCUUCUCCCUCUUUCCCUCUCUCCCUCCCCCCUCUCUCUCUUACUCUCUUACGCAUAUUAUCACAUAGCUAGCUAGUACCCAUCUUUCACAAAGGUAAAUACAUCCAAGUAACAGAAACUAUGAGAGAAGGUGGAGAAGAAGAUGGUGGUACAGAUGUAGGUGAAGGAGGAAGAGGUGGUGAAAAUGUAUGUGGAGUAGGAGGAGGAAAGUGGAAAAGAGAAGGAGAGAGAGAAAUAGAGAGAAAAGUAUAAUUCGAAUACCAACUCAGAUGACAUAUUCGAUCCAGCCUCGCAUCCGUAUAUUUUGCAAAACCAGAAUCAUUUUUACCAGUACCGAGAGAGCUUGAUCUAGGAACAAUUAGUCAGAGUCUAUCGAAAUUAAUGAUGUGCCAUGGGCAUACAUAUAACAGAGUCUAGGAGAAAUAUUGUAUAUAAGAAUUUGGUAAAGACUCCCGUAAGAAUUUAAUACGUGAAAAUCACUCGUAAACUUUAGGAGGUCACAAGGGGAUAACAAGAACUACAACAGAAUGAGACAGAAAUACUUGUGGGCAUGUAUAAAACAUCAGAUUCAAGUUUUCAUGUAAAAUCGCUUAGACUGCCAAUUGAAGGAAUUCGUUAGGGUCAACAUUUGAUAAAGUUGGGUUAGAUGUAAUGGGUACUCUCUCUCAGACUUAGAAAGGAAAUAAAUAUAUCAUUACCUAUCAUAAACACUACUUUUAUUGACAUAGCAAAUGAUACCAAAUUGAAUAUGUAAAUUGGAAACACCACGCUCCAUCUUAUCGGAUCAGGCCGCUAACUAUUGACAUUCUUUGAUAAAAGCGAUAGCACGCAAAUUCAAAAUCAGACAGUAUAGAAAAUGGCGUUCUUUCCUCAAUCUAAUGGGUCUAUCGAGUUGUCGCAUCAAGUAUUAGUAGAAUAUCUGAAACAAUUUACUAUCAGGGAAAAGGAUUGGGACGAAUGGCUAGAUACUGAGAUGCUCUUGUACAGCACAUGAGAGAACACGCUUUACAUCCAAUGAACUUAUAUUCGGUAGAGUGAUUUGGAUGCCGACAUCUGAUCCGCCAUUAGACGAUGACAUGAUUAAACAUAAUUGGAAAAUAUUCCAAG